ACGCCUGAGGUUUUGUUAUAAACGCAGAUGAGAAAUCCUGCAUGAGGCUCUCUCAGAUUAAGUGGCUCUAAUACUGCAGAAAGCUUCCCCUGGAUUUCCAAAAAAAAAAAAAAAACAACCUUCAUCUUGUGUUCAGAAGAACACCAUGUUAAAAAGAAGCAUUUUCUCCUCUGCUGUGAGGACACGUUUUUUCCACUGGUUUUCCAUCAUGUGGUUUACUAUGACAGUCGCCACGACAGGAUCUGCGCUGGUUUCACUUUGAAUACUGUACUAAAUCCAUUGAGCUGCAGAUGGCAGUAGUGGGAUACAUACAGUAUGUUGGAUGAAGAUAAGGACACAUUACAUGACAUAACUGGCCUAAAUUCUCCUUUAAAUGUGAUCUGAAGAGGGCUGUUCAAGAUCGUCAAGAAAUACCCUCAAAAUCUGGCACAGUUUUUGCCUCCAAAAAGAGCGACCAAGUAAUGACAAUGUACCAUGCAUGAAAAUGCCUUGGUUGCUUCAAUAUAAUAUGAAGAACAGAGGGAAAAAAAGAUGUCAGGGGGAAAGGGGCCCACAAACACUGUCAAACUAGUUUUAGUUCAAAGGCCACGUUCACCACAGUUUGAUCUCAAGUGGGCCGGAGCAGUAUAUUCGUGGCCAAAUGUAAACUAUAAACAACGACUAUUCCACGUUGUCCUAUUGUUUUUGUGCAAAAACAAUUACAAGUACAUUCUGUAAAUAUUCACAUUUAGAGUAUUGAUUUUGAUCUUAUUGCAAAUCAUAACAGCAAUCUGAAAUUUCUUAACAAAAAUAGUGCAAUAUCAGCAAUAUUAUGAAUGAGACCCCCAUGGAUAAAAUUAGCAAACAGUUAAUUUUAUUGAAAAAUUGCAGUUAAGUUUGCAACACUUUGCAAAAAUCAUCCUCACAGGCCGGUUUGGACGGCUUGGUAGGCGGCUUAUGAACCACGGGUCGUACAUUUGACAUCCAUGAACUGGGAGGCUGAGGACAAGAUGCCCUUGAGCAAGGCCCAGGUCAAUAGGUGUGGUACUCUUUGCUCACCCCUGUCACUGACAUCUCAAUUUACUUUGAUAAUCCAAAGGUGAAAAGGACAAAAUUCAAUUUGCAAAAAACCAAAUUUACUCAUAAUGUACCUCAAAAGUUAUUGAUUUAUUGCCAAUAUACCAUACAUGAAUCAAUAUGAUGAUGUCGAUGAUGAUAAAAAUGUGUUGACCAUCAUAAUUGACCACCCCAAAUUAUUACUAACACUCAUUUUAAAACCCUUGAUGUGUGCUUUCUAGCUCAGUAACCAUUUUUGUGCAAACAACUAUGCGUCUUCACACAUCAAGUGACAGGAAUGCACUUGUGGUUGAAGUUCCUGUCCGAGAUUGAAUCCUUUUCAUAUUUCUGAAAAACUUAAUAUUCACUAAUUUUAUAUGAACUAUAAAAUGAUUUUUAUUAUCUCUACAUAAAGCUGUGAUGGCAGAUGUGGCUGUGAGGACAACUCCUGACAUGGUGGUCCGCUGCGGGGACAAUGUAACACUGACAUGCAAUGCCACCUCGGACGAGUUCUUGGAUGUUAAAUUAUUUUCUUGGAUUAGACCCAACAAAAUGUUAUUUGACUCUAAGGUCAAGAACAAUGACUCUGCAGUUGUGUGUCUGAACAAAACGGAUGAUUCCCACCAUACGCUCACUCUGACACUCUUAAACAUAAUGCCCAUCCACCAAGGACAGUACAUCUGCAAAUUUCGUGGACAAGUGGGAAUCAAUUCCAGCACCACUAACAUUACCGUACAAGACUGCCUUGGAAAUCAGAACUACUUCAUUAAUGAGUCUAUUGCAGAGUGCUGGUUCCAUGGAGUUUCCAGCCCUGGUAAAAUCCAGUGGUUCAAGGGAGAUGACCGGUUAACGGACUCAAUAAGAUCAAAUGAAAAAGUUGACCAAUAUGGCCGCUACAAUAUCACAAGUACAAUAAAAGCACCAAGAGGAAACCAAAUUUAUAACUGCUCAUUAUGGAUACUCGGGAAAUAUGUCUCCAGUCAAAAGGUAGUCAUGGUUAAAGAGUCAAAAAAUGCAUCCGGAAGUAAAGACAAACUCCAGUGGGUCUGUCUGAUGCUACAUGCCAUAGUGGUGACAUUUAUCAUGUAAUGAUACAAACCAAACAAGUUUGAAUUUACUGGUGAGUGUUAUAGUUGUCCAUCCAUCCAUCCAUCCAUUUUCUACCGCUUAUCCGAGGUCGGUUCGCAGGGGCAGUAGCUUUAGCAGGGAUGUCCACAGACUUCCCUCUCCCCAGCCACUUCAUCCAGCUCUUCCGGGGGAUCCCGAGGCGUUACCAGGCCAGCCGAAGGAUGUAGUCUCUCCAGCGUGUCCUGGGUCAUCCCCGGGGUCUCCUCCCGGUGGGACGUGCCCGGAACACCUCACCAGGGAGGCAUCCGAAUCAGAUGCCCCGGCCACCUCAUCUGGCUCCUCUCGAUGUGGAGGAGCAGCGUCUGUACUCUGAGAUCCUCCCGGAUGACCAAGCUUCUCACACUAUCUCUAAGGGAGAGUCCGGACACCCUGCGGAGGAAACUCAUUUCGGCCGCUUGUAUCCGGGAUCUUGUUCUUUCGGUCACGACGCACAGCGAGAUCGACCAGUUAAUCGAGAGCUUCGCCUUUCGGCUUAGCUCCUUCUUUACCACAGCGGACCGAUACAAAGCCCGCAUCACUGCAGACGCUGCACCGAUCCACCUGUCAAUCUCCCGUUCCAUUUUUCCCUCACUCAUGAACAAGACCCCAAGAUACUUGAACUCCUCCACUUGGGGCAGGAUCUCAUCCCCGACCUGGAGAGGGCACGCCCCCCUUUUCUGACUGAGGACCAUGGUCUCAGAUUUGGAGGUGCUGAUUCUCAUUCCAGCCGCUUCACACUCUGCUGCGAACUGUUCCAGUGAGAGUUGGAGAUCACGGCCUGAUGAAGCCAACAGAACCACAUCAUCUGCAAAAAUCAGAGAUGCUAUACUGAGGCCACCAAACCGGUUCACGCCUCCACGCCUCGGCUGCGCCUGGAAAUUCUGUCCAUAAAAGUUAUGAACAGAAUCGGUGACAAAGGGCCGCCUUGGCGGAGUCCAACCCUCACCGGAAACAAGUCAGACUUACUGCCGGAUAUGCAGACCAAACUCUGACUCCGGUCGUACAGGGACCGAACAUCCCGUAUUAGGGGGUUUGGUACCCCAUACUCCCAAAGCACCCUCCACAGGACUUCCCGAGGGACACGGUCGAACGCCUUCUCCAAGUCUACAAAACACAUGAAGACUGGUUGGGCGAACUCCCAUGCACCCUCGAGGACCCUGCCGAGGGUGUUGAGCUGAUCCACUGUUCCAUGGCCAGGAGGAAAACCACACUGCUCCUCCUCAAUCUGAGAUUUGACUUCCCGACGGACCCUCUUCUCCAGCACCCCUGAAUAGACCUUACCAGGGAGGCUGAGGAGUGUGAUCCCCCUGUAGUUGGAACACACCCUCCGGUCCCCCUUCUUAAAAAGGGGGACUACCACCCCAGUCUGCCAAUCCAGAGGCACUGUCCCCGAUGUCCACGCGUUGCCCCAUCCCCACUAUACACAUUGUUGAUGGUGCACUACUUCCCCCUCCUGAGACGCCGGAUGGUGGACCAGAAUUUCCUCGAAGCCAUCCGGAAGUCUGUACAUUAAUCCGCAUUUUAAAAAAAAUUAUAAAAUAAAAAAAUAAAAAAAUCUGCAUUCUUUAAAAAUUACAGUACAACAAGAUAAAGCGAAAUGGUUCAAAGUAUUUGUCCAAUAGUUUAAAAAGGAACCUAAUUAUGCACUUAAAAAUGUUGAACAUAUGGUGAAUGAAUAUUGAGGAUGUCUGAAUCUGAUAAAUUAAUUGGAAUUAUGUUAUAACACAAAGAAAUAAGUGUGUCUGUAUUUUGUACAAAGUGCAAAACCUAUCUGCAUGAUUUUCUGAUUGACUGAUUUUAUUUUUGAUGAUGAUGUAACCACGAAGGCUGCCCAUAUACUGCAAUGUUAACACGAAAUAUUGUAUAAUAAUAAUAAUAAUAGUAGUAAUUAUUAUUAUUAUUGUUGUUGUUGUUGAGAUUUAUAGUCUAAAAAUAGUGCAUUAUGAAAGAAAAAUGGUAUUAUUGUUUUUAAAAAGUGAUUUUUUUUUGCGUGCUUUGGCCAUCAAUAUAUGCAAAUAUAUACACAAGGGCUUUCGAGUCUUGCGCUGAGGAGAGGCUUCCGCCGGGCCACUCUGCCAUAAAGCCCCGACUGGUGGAGGGCUGCAGUGAUGGUUGACUUUCUAGAACUUUUGCCUGUCUCCCGACUACAUCUCUGGAGCUGAGCCACAGUGAUUUUUGGGUACUUCUUUCCUCUCGCACCAAGGCUCUUCUCCCCCAAUUGCUCAGUUUGGCCGGACGGCCAGCUCUAGGAAGGAUUCUGGUCGUCCCAAACGUCUUCCAUUUAAGGAUUAUGGAGGCCACUGUACUCUUAGGAACCUUAAGUACAGCAAAAAAAAAAAAAAAAGUGUAACCUUGGCCAGAUCUGUGCCUUGCCACAAUUCUGUCUGAGCUCUCCAGGUAGUUCCUUUGACCUCAUGAUACUCAUUUGCUCUGACAUGCAUUGUGAGCUGUAAGGGCUUAUAUAGACAGGGGUGUGGCUUUCCUAAUCAAGUCCAAUCAGUAUAAUCAAACACAGCUGGACUCCAAUGAAGGUGUCGAACCAUCUCAAGGAUGAUCAGAAGAAAUGGACAGCACCCUGAGUUAAAUAUAUGAGUGUCACAGCAAAGGGUCUGAAUACUUAGGGCUGUGUGAUAUUUCAGUUUUUCUUUUUUAAUAAAUCUGCAAAAAUGUCAACAAUUCCCUUUUUUUUUGUCAAUGUGGGGUGCUCUGUGUACGUUGUACAUUAAUGAGGGGAAAAAUGAACUCCAAAUGAUUUUAGUAAAUGGCUGCAAUAUAACAAAGAGUGAAAGUUUUAAGAGUGUCUGAAUACUUCCCGUACCCACUGUAUAUUGGCAAUUUCAUUAAA